UACGUAGGGGGCAAGCGUUGUCCGGAUUCAUUGGGCGUAAAGAGCUCGUAGGCGGUUCAGUAAGUCGGGUGUGAAAGCUCCGAGCUCAACUCGGAGAGGCCACCCGAUACUGCUGUGACUUGAGUCCAGUAGAGGAGCGUGGAACUCCUGGUGUAGCGGUGGAAUGCGCAGAUAUCAGGAAGAACACCUGCAGCGAAGGCGGCGCUCUGGGCUGGAACUGACGCUGAGGAGCGAAAGCGUGGGUAGCAAACAGGAUUAGAAACCCUAGUAGUCC
rnacentral:rRNA from 1 species